rnacentral:rRNA from 1 species
UAGCUAAAUGCGGAAGAGAUAAGUGCUGAAAGCAUCUAAGCACGAAACUUGCCCCGAGAUGAGUUCUCCCUGACUCCUUGAGAGUCCUGAAGGAACGUUGAAGACGACGACGUUGAUAGGCCGGGUGUGUAAGCGCAGCGAUGCGUUGAGCUAACCGGUACUAAUGAACCGUGAGGCUUAACCUUACAACGCCGAAG